AUUGAACGCUGGCGGCAGGCCUAACACAUGCAAGUCGAGCGGAUGAAGGGAGCUUGCUCCUGGAUUCAGCGGCGGACGGGUGAGUAAUGCCUAGGAAUCUGCCUGGUAGUGGGGGAUAACGUCCGGAAACGGGCGCUAAUACCGCAUACGUCCUGAGGGAGAAAGUGGGGGAUCUUCGGACCUCACGCUAUCAGAUGAGCCUAGGUCGGAUUAGCUAGUUGGUGGGGUAAAGGCCUACCAAGGCGACGAUCCGUAACUGGUCUGAGAGGAUGAUCAGUCACACUGGAACUGAGACACGGUCCAGACUCCUACGGGAGGCAGCAGUGGGGAAUAUUGGACAAUGGGCGAAAGCCUGAUCCAGCCAUGCCGCGUGUGUGAAGAAUGUCUUCGGAUUGUAAAGCACUUUAAGUUGGGAGGAAGGGCAGUAAGUUAAUACCUUGCUGUUUUGACGUUACCAACAGAAUAAGCACCGGCUAACUUCGUG
rnacentral:rRNA from 1 species